GAUGAACGCUGGCGGCGUGCCUAAUACAUGCAAGUCGAGCGAACGGACGAGAAGCUUGCUUCUCUGAUGUUAGCGGCGGACGGGUGAGUAACACGUGGAUAACCUACCUAUAAGACUGGGAUAACUUCGGGAAACCGGAGCUAAUACCGGAUAAUAUUUUGAACCGCAUGGUUCAAAAGUGAAAGACGGUCUUGCUGUCACUUAUAGAUGGAUCCGCGCUGCAUUAGCUAGUUGGUAAGGUAACGGCUUACCAAGGCAACGAUGCAUAGCCGACCUGAGAGGGUGAUCGGCCACACUGGAACUGAGACACGGUCCAGACUCCGACGGGAGGCAGCAGUAGGGAAUCUUCCGCAAUGGGCGAAAGCCUGACGGAGCAACGCCGCGUGAGUGAUGAAGGUCUUCGGAUCGUAAAACUAUGUUAUUAGGGAAGAACAUAUGUGUAAGUAACUGUGCACAUCUUGACGGUACCUAAUCAGAAAGCCACGGCUAACUACGU
rnacentral:rRNA from 1 species